UCAGAAUAAAAGUAGUUAAGUUCUUCAUAACUCAAAGAAUUUGGCGGUUAAUAAAAAUUUCAGAGGAACCUGUGUUUUAAUUGAUAAACCACGAUAGAUUUUAUCUUUUUUUUAUUUGUAUAUCUCUAUAUUUUGGAGUGUUUUUUAAAAAUAAUUAUUCUCUUUAAGAUAUUUUCUUUAAUUUUAGGUCAAGGUGCAGUUUUAGAAAGAUUUACAUGGGUUACUUUAGUUUUAAUUAUUUAUAUAUUUUUUUCAUUUGGUAAAUUAAAAUAUAGGAUUUGAUAGUAAUUUAUAUUAAUUAAUUUUUUUGAAUAUU
rnacentral:rRNA from 1 species